AUUGAACGCUGGCGGCAGGCCUAACACAUGCAAGUCGAACGAGCGGCGGACGGGUGAGUAAUGUAUGGGGAUCUGCCUUAUAGAGGGGGAUAACUACGGGAAACGGUGGCUAAUACCGCAUACUAUAGGAUGAACCCAAGUGGGAUUAGCUAGUGGGUGGGGUAAAGGCUCACCUAGGCGACGAUCUCUAGCUGGUCUGAGAGGAUGAUCAGCCACACUGGGACUGAGACACGGCCCAGACUCCUACGGGAGGCAGCAGUGGGGAAUAUUGCACAAUGGGCGCAAGCCUGAUGCAGCCAUGCCGCGUGUAUGAAGAAGGCCUUAGGGUUGUAAAGUACUUUCAGCAGGGAGGCGUUACCCGCAGAAGAAGCACCGGCUAACUCCGUGCCAGCAGCCGCGGUAAUAC
rnacentral:rRNA from 1 species